CGUAGGGUGCAAGCGUUGUCCGGAAUUAUUGGGCGUAAAGAGCUCGUAGGCGGUCUGUCGCGUCGGCUGUGAAAACUCGGGGCUCAACCCCGAGCCUGCAGUCGAUACGGGCAGACUAGAGUGCUGUAGGGGAGACUGGAAUUCCUGGUGUAGCGGUGAAAUGCGCAGAUAUCAGGAGGAACACCGGUGGCGAAGGCGGGUCUCUGGGGCAGUAACUGACGCUGAGGAGCGAAAGCGUGGGGAGCGAACAGGAUU
rnacentral:rRNA from 1 species